rnacentral:rRNA from 1 species
AGGUGUAAGCGUGGUGACACGUGGAGCUGACGAAUACUAAUCGAUCGAAGACUUAAUCAAUUU